rnacentral:misc_RNA from 1 species
ACCGCUGCCAUCAAAGUUUUUAUAUGCGUUACAAGACUAUCUAUAAAAUUGCAUAGUGCUUACACUCAUAAUUAUUUAAUGGAUGUUUGUAAUCGGUACUCAGCUUGACAUAUUACGGAAAUCCGAUGGAUAAGACUAUUGGACUGAAUACUACAGAGUUCAAAUGAGUUUUCAUAAUGAGAGGUAAAGUGUGGAAAACAAUAAUUAACCAAAGAUUUUGACAUGAGAAGAGAUGCGAUCACUGCUGGUAUCUAGGAGACCCCAAAUCUUACUGUCAUCACUAUCUAAAGUUGUUAUACACUUCUGGUAGACUUUUAGUGGAGUCACAUCAAUAGCUCAAUGACAACAAGCUCGAUUUAUGGCGAAAGUUGGAGCUAUUGAUUUCCUAACUCCUCAAAAAAGCACCAAAAAUGGCCUCAGCUACCGUAAAAAGUCGCCAGAUUUUCAAGAACAGAAGAAAAUCGAGAUUUUUAUCAAAUGUACUGAUUUGGUUCAAAUGGAUAAGUUUUCGUACAGUGACCCCCUCUGCGUGCUCCAUGUCAAGAAACUNGGUCAUUGGACGGAAUAUGGAAGGACGGAAUCUCUGCCAAAUAACUUAAAUCCCAAGUUUGUGGAAUCCUUCAUAAUCGAUAGCUGUUCGGUACAAUAUCCACGCCUUCGUUUCUCUCUCUACGACCUGGCGAACUUCACUUCGAAAGAUCUUCGGAAACACGACUUCAUUGGUUCUGUAGAAAUCGACUUUGAGACCCUUCUGACGUCAGAAUCGCCACUCGUUCGGACGUUACGAAUACCCGGCGAUAUUAAGACUCGUGGUUUCAUUAAUAUAUUCUACGAAGAUGUGACAGCAAACAAGACAAAUUUACGACUGCAAAUGAGAGGAGUUGGACUCGAGAAAAAAGGAUUUUUAAGNAAAUGUGAUGCGUUUUUUGAGGUUGAACGACUAUUGUCAAGCGGACAUUUUCAUCCUGUAUAUCGGUCAGAAAUCGUCACGAGAACACUCGAUCCUAAAUGGGCACCAUUGGAGUUGUAUUUACAAAAGCUAUGCAAUGAAGACGUCACCAAGGAAGCACGCAUCACGUGCUGGCAUUUUUCAAAUAGUGGUUCUCAUACGAUGAUUGGUCAAUGCACAUUUGUCGUUGAUGACAUCAUUAAAAGAAAGACACGACUUUUGAGCCUCGUGAAGCCACAAAAACCAGGCAAAAAGCGCACGUCAAGUCCAGGAUCAAUCCAAAUUCUCCAUUGUCAAGCAGAUCGUCACUUCAGUCUGCUCGAUUAUAUACGCGGUGGUUGUAANAUAAGAAUNGCUUGCGCUAUUGACUUNACGUUAUCAAAUGGAGACCCUUCGUUGCCGAACUCUUUACACUGCACAGUACCGGAAAAUAACGAAUAUAUCCACACCAUCGAGGCACUGGUCCCAAUCGUCACUCACUACGACUCCGAAAAAAAGAUCCCCUUCUUUGGUUUUGGAGCCAAAAAUAUACCCGGUCCAUACUGCUUUGCGGUAAAUAAAGACGAAAGUGCACCUGACGUUGAUGGAGUCGAGUCACUUAUCGAGACCUAUUUAGAACUCCUUUCGACAAUAAAACUUGGCGGACCAACUUAUCUUGCGCCCGUAAUCCAACGGAUAGCGGAGUAUGCUGGAAAGGAAAUAUCCCAAGAUUCUCAAUAUUAUAUGGUUGCCUUGGUAAUCAUGGAUGGAGUGGCUAAUGAUGUUGACCUGACCAUCGCAAAACUUGUAGAACUUGGUGCUUUACCACUGUCAAUCAUUAUUGCAGGCGUCGGACCAGCUGACUUUAGUGGAGGAAUUGUUCAAUUCAAGGCGGAAGCCCUUAAGGGCACGUGACGGGAAAGAACUCCAACGAGAAACAACGUAUUUCAUUGAACUGAAAAAACACAAUCGAAGCCGAAAUAUGUCAGCGGCUCGAGAGGCACUGGCACAUAUAUCAAGGCAAAUAGUGGCAUUUUUCAAAUCCAAAAAUAUAGAACCCAAUCCACCACAAAAAUCUAUUACAGAGGUAGCAUGGGGCGAGNUGAGUGGUAUGAAUGGUUUGGGG